ACGCCUGUAGCUCAACUAGGUAGAGCACUGGAUUCCAAAUCCAGCGGUUGGGGGUUCGAUUCCCUCCGGGCGUGCCA
rnacentral:tRNA from 1 species